GAAAUGCGAUAAGUAAUGUGAAUUGCAGAAUUCCGUGAAUCAUGGAAUCUUUGAACGCACAUUGCGCCCUCUGGCAUUCCGGGGGGCAUGCCUGUCCGAGCGUCAUUACGCACCCUCAAGCCCGGCUUGUGUGAUGGGCCCCGGCGUCUCGUUCGCGAGACGGGCCCGAAAGGCAGCGGCGGCGUCGACCCGAUGAGCCCGAGCGUAUGGGGACUUCUGUCACACGUUCGCGGUGCGGACCGGCGCCUGCUUGACUUUUCUGAUUAUCCAGGUUGACCUCGGAUCAGGUAGGGAUACCCGCUGAACUUAAGC
rnacentral:misc_RNA from 1 species